rnacentral:rRNA from 1 species
UACGUAGGGUGCGAGCGUUGUCCGGAAUUAUUGGGCGUAAAGAGCUCGUAGGCGGUCUGUCGCGUCUGCUGUGAAAACUCAGGGCUUAACCCUGAGCUUGCAGUGGGUACGGGCAGACUAGAGUGCGGUAGGGGAGACUGGAAUUCCUGGUGUAGCGGUGAAAUGCGCAGAUAUCAGGAGGAACACCAGUGGCGAAGGCGGUGCUCUGGGCCGGAACUGACGCUGAGGAGCGAAAGCGUGGGGAGCAAACAGG